rnacentral:rRNA from 1 species
GACGAACGCUGGCGGCGUGCUUAACACAUGCAAGUCGAACGGAAAGGCCCUGCUUUUGUGGGGUGCUCGAGUGGCGAACGGGUGAGUAACACGUGAGUAACCUGCCCUUGACUUUGGGAUAACUUCAGGAAACUGGGGCUAAUACCGGAUAGGAGCUCCUGCUGCAUGGUGGGGGUUGGAAAGUUUCGGCGGUUGGGGAUGGACUCGCGGCUUAUCAGCUUGUUGGUGGGGUAGUGGCUUACCAAGGCUUUGCCGGGUAGCCGGCCUGAGAGGGUGACCGGCCACAUUGGGACUGAGAGACGGCCCAGACUCCUACGGGAGGCAGCAGGGGGGAAUAUUGCACAAUGGGCGGAAGCCUGAUGCAGCAACGCCGCGUGCGGGAUGACGGCCUUCGGGUUGGAAACCGCUUUCGCCUGUGACGAAGCGUGAGUGACGGUAAGGGGUAAAGAAGCACCGGCUAACUACGUGC